UCCACCCAAAAUUCUGCCAUCCUACAAACCAAACUGUUUACAUUUUUUUUUUCAUGCUCCCUUUCAGUCCCUGUCCAUAUGCAGACAGAAUUUUUACAGUUGUAAUCAUAGCACAGAUACAAUCUUGUAGUCAGGUUUGCCUCAAUUAGAGUUCUUAAAGCAAUUUUUCAGUUCACUCUCUCAUCUUCAUUUCUACUACUAGGAACACUUCACCCCCACCAUUCUUGGCGACUUCCAUGGGAUCUUAAGUGUUGAGGAAGGCUGAAAAAGAAUAAUUCACAGAAUUGGGGGAAAGGAUUAAGUUUCCACUUGUAAAGAAUGGAGUCUCUAGAAUUAAACUCAUGUGGAAAGGAUUUAUUUCUUUCCCACUUUGUUACCAUAGCUGGAAACCUUUAUGAAAGUAGCUACAUUUCCCCACCAUCAAGCAUGCUUUUGUUAUCUUCAUAAAGAGCCCUCACAGGUAUUUCCUCUUUACCUAGUUUGUUUUCAAGGCCUGCUCAGUAUUUAGGAUAUAGGCAUAUUUAGGCAUCUUUUCUUCCAUCUGCU
rnacentral:lncRNA from 1 species